CCUACGGCGGCUGCAGUGGGGAAUAUUGGACAAUGGGCGAAAGCCUGAUCCAGCCAUGCCGCGUGUGUGAAGAAGGCCUUCGGGUUGUAAAGCACUUUCAGUGGGGAAGAAAGCCUUGGGGCUAAUACCCUCGAGGAAGGACAUCACCCACAGAAGAAGCACCGGCUAACUCCGUGCCAGCAGCCGCGGUAAUACGGAGGGUGCGAGCGUUAAUCGGAAUUACUGGGCGUAAAGCGCGCGUAGGCGGUCUGAUAAGCCGGUUGUGAAAGCCCCGGGCUCAACCUGGGAACGGCAUCCGGAACUGUCAGGCUAGAGUGCAGGAGAGGAAGGUAGAAUUCCCGGUGUAGCGGUGAAAUGCGUAGAGAUCGGGAGGAAUACCAGUGGCGAAGGCGGUCUUCUGGACUGACACUGACGCUGAGGUGCGAAAGCGUGGGUAGCAAACAGGAUUAGAUACCCGGGUAGUC
rnacentral:rRNA from 1 species